GAUGUUGGGUUAAGUCCCGCAACGAGCGCAACCCUUGUCUUUAGUUGCCAUCAUUAAGUUGGGCACUCUAGAGAGACUGCCAGGGAUAACCUGGAGGAAGGUGGGGAUGACGUCAAAUCAUCAUGCCCCUUAUGCUUAGGGCUACACACGUGCUACAAUGGGUAGUACAGAGGGUUGCCAAGCCGUAAGGUGGAGCUAAUCCCUUAAAGCUACUCUCAGUUCGGAUUGUAGGCUGAAACUCGCCUACAUGAAGCUGGAGUUACUAGUAAUCGCAGAUCAGAAUGCUGCGGUGAAUGCGUUCCCGGGUCUUGUACACACCGCCCGUCACACCACGGGAGUUGGAGACGCCCGAAGCCGAUUAUCUAACCUUUUGGAAGAAGUCGUCGAAGGUGGAAUCAAUAACUGGGGUGAAGUCGUAACAAGGUAGCCGUAUCGGAAGGUGCGGCUGGAUCACCUCCUUUCUAAGGA
rnacentral:rRNA from 1 species